rnacentral:rRNA from 1 species
UACGAAGGGGGCUAGCGUUGUUCGGAAUUACUGGGCGUAAAGGGCGCGUAGGCUGGUCCUGAUCGUCGGAUGUGAAAGGCCCUGGGCUCAACCUGGGAAUGGCAUCCGAUACGGGCGGGGACUGGAGUGUGGGAGAGGUUGGUGGAAUUCCCAGUGUAGAGGUGAAAAUUCGUAGAUAUUAGGGAAGAACACCGGUGGCGAAGGCGGCCAACUGGACCACAACUGACGCUGAGGCGCGAAAGCGUGGGGGAGCAAAACAGG